rnacentral:rRNA from 1 species
GUCCACGCCCUAAACUAUGUCAACUAGACGUUGGCCCCUUUAAUGGGGUUAGUGUCGAAGCUAACGCGUUAAGUUGACCGCCUGGGGAGUACGGCCGCAAGGUUGAAACUCAAAGGAAUUGACGGGGGCCCGCACAAGCGGUGGAGCAUGUGGUUUAAUUCGAUGCAACGCGAAGAACCUUACCAGCCCUUGACAUCCUGGGAACUUUGUAGAGAUACAUUGGUGCCUUCGGGAAUCCAGUGACAGGUGCUGCAUGGCUGUCGU